ensembl:snRNA U5 U5 spliceosomal RNA
UACUCGUGCUUCUCUUCAUAAUCAAAUGAAUAUUUUGCCUUUUACUAAAGAUUCAUGUGGGGAGGGAAAAAAAAAUUAAGAGCUAUUUCAAGACUCAAUGUUGGCAUUUAUUAGCUCAGAUAUAAU